GACGAACGCUGGCGGCGUGCUUAACACAUGCAAGUUGAACGGUCCGACAUGGAAGCUUGCUGAAGUGUCGGGUAGUAGCGGACGGGUGAGUAAUGCAUGAGAAGCUGCCAUUGGGAGGGGGACAACAGUUGGAAACGGCUGCUGAUACCCCAUAUGCCGGAAGGUGAAACGGAGCGAUCCGCCCGAUGAGGUGCUCAUGUCCUAUCAGCUGGUUGGUGAGGUAACGGCUCACCAAGGCGACGACGGGUAGCCGGCCUGAGAGGGUGACCGGCCACACUGGAACUGAGAUACGGUCCAGACUCCUACGGGAGGCAGCAGUGGGGAAUAUUGGGCAAUGGGGGAAACCCUGACCCAGCGACGCCGCGUGAGGGAAGACGGCCUUCGGGUUGUAAACCUCUUUUGUACGGGAAGAAGGAUGUGACGGUACCGUGCGAAUAAGUCCCGGCUAACUACGUGCCAGCAGCCGCGGUAAUACGUAGGGGACGAGCGUUGUCCGGAAUUACUGGGCGUAAAGGGCGCGCAGGCUGUAUAUCAAGUCGGCUGUGAAAUGUCCGGGCUUAACCCGGGCAUGCGGUUGAAACUGAUGUACUGGAGUGCUGUAGAGGCAAGUGGAAUUCCCAGUGUAGCGGUGAAAUGCGUAGAUAUUGGGAAGAACACCGGUGGCGAAGGCGACUUGCUGGGCAGCAACUGACGCUGAGGCGCGAAAGCCAGGGGAGCGAACG
rnacentral:rRNA from 2 species